rnacentral:rRNA from 1 species
GGAGGCAGCAGUGGGGAAUCUUAGACAAUGGGNGCAAGCCUGAUCUAGCCAUGCCGCGUGAGUGAUGAAGGCCUUAGGGUNGUAAAGCUCUUUCGCCAGAGAUGAUAAUGACAGUAUNNGGUAAAGAAACCCCGGCUAACUCCGUGCCAGCAGCCGCGGUAAUACGGAGGGGGUUAGCGUUGUUCGGAAUUACUGGGCGUAAAGCGCACGUAGGCGGAUCAGAAAGUUGGGGGUGAAAUCCCAGGGCUCAACCCUGGAACGGCCUCCAAAACUCCUGGUCUUGAGUUCGAGAGAGGUGAGUGGAAUUCCGAGUGUAGAGGUGAAAUUCGUAGAUAUUCGGAGGAACACCAGUGGCGAAGGCGGCUCACNGGCUCGAUACUGACGC